rnacentral:rRNA from 1 species
GGUGGCAUGGUUGUCGUCAGCUCGUGUCGUGAGAUCGUUGGGUUAAGUCCCGCAACGAGCGCAACCCUCGACCUUAGUUGCCAGCAUUCAGUUGGGCACUCUAAGGUGACUGCCGGCUAAAAGUCGGAGGAAGGUGGGGAUGACGUCAAGUCCUCAUGGCCCUUAUGGGUAGGGCUUCACACGUCAUACAAUGGUCGGUACAGAGGGUUGCCAAACCGCGAGGUGGAGCCAAUCCCUUAAAGCCGAUCGUAGUCCGGAUCGUAGUCUGCAACUCGACUACGUGAAGUCGGAGUCGCUAGUAAUCGCAGAUCAGCAUGCUGCGGUCGAAUACGUUCCCGGGCCUU